GACGAACGCUGGCGGCGUGCUUAACACAUGCAAGUCGAACGGAAAGGCCCUGCUUUUGUGGGGUGCUCGAGUGGCGAACGGGUGAGUAACACGUGAGUAACCUGCCCUUGACUUUGGGAUAACUUCAGGAAACUGGGGCUAAUACCGGAUAGGAGCUCCUGCUGCAUGGUGGGGGUUGGAAAGUUUCGGCGGUUGGGGAUGGACUCGCGGCUUAUCAGCUUGUUGGUGGGGUAGUGGCUUACCAAGGCUUUGACGGGUAGCCGGCCUGAGAGGGUGACCGGCCACAUUGGGACUGAGAUACGGCCCAGACUCCAACGGGAGGCAGCAGUGGAGAAUAUUGCACAAUGGGCGGAAGCCUGAUGCAGCAACGCCGCGUGCGGGAUGACGGCCUUCGGGUUGUAAACCGCUUUCGCCUGUGACGAAGCGUGAGUGACGGUAAUGGGUAAAGAAGCACCGGCUAACUACGUG
rnacentral:rRNA from 1 species